CCCGAAUCCCGGGAUUAGAAGCAUCGGGAUUUCGGGAUCCCGAUAUUUUCCGUACAGAAACAUCGUUCAUAAAGUGUAGCUGAUAGUAGGUAUGUAAAAAAAGGUAAGUGAGUAACAACGCAUUACAGUGCAGUUUUAUGUCCAAAGAUCUUACUUACGCCGUGCAAAGUCGUUAUGCACAAGUAUUGGUUACAUAUAUACCUAAUUGACAUUGUUUCACACCGUCUCAGCCUUCACAAUGUGGCGAGAGACGAGCUCUCUCUCGGCUCAUCUCUCGCUCCCCGCGACGUCCCUCGCGUACUCGGUUUAACAGAUCAUUUUGCACGAUGACAUACUAUGCCGACUAUCGAAUUCGAGUCCAUCGAGUGGGAGGAGGUCGGCCGUCUUCUCUGUGUGACUGUGGGAGCACGUCUGGUGGCUCAGUUACUGUCAGUGCCCCGUGGCUGGACGAUCCAUGAGGCUGGCCGGGCGCCCUGGGCAUGGUUACCGUUAGUGAAUAAUUAUUAAUUACGUGCCUUUGUGAUAAGCUAUAGCUAACUUUGCCAAAAUGUCGGAUUUUGCUUAAUUUAAAGGCAGUGCGGUGUGGGAACAUUAUCUAAGAAGUCAAGAUGGCCACACAGCAAAGUGUCGUCUUUGUAAAAAGGUACUGAAAAUAUCUGGAGGUUCCACCAAAGGACUUCACGUCCACCUCAGGAGCAAGCAUGGUGGUAUGAGUGUUGCUGGACCAUCCCGAUCCGGAGAGACGCCGCAAAACGUGUCCGGCGAAGGUCAAGAUGAGAGCGCUAAAACCACGGCACCGCAUCUAAAAGGAAUGAAGACCUUAGAUUGCUACUAUGUUUCCAAAACGGACGACGACCUGGAUGCUAUCCUAGCUAGAAUGUGCGCGAGAGAUGGGAUACCUUUUACAGUUUUCUGUACCUCACCGGACCUACGCGGACUUUUGGCUGCUAAAGGAUAUAAAAACCUUCCAACCCAUCACAACACGAUCCGCCGGCGUGUCCUCAAACACUGUGCUCGCCUGAAGUGUGACGUGAAGGCGAAGCUGGCCGAAGAAUUGUCAAAUGGCAAACGGUUCUCACUUACGAUCGACGAGUAUACGUCCCUGAAAAACCGUCGCUAUAUGAGCGUGACUGUCCACUGCGAAGGUAACAUGUGGGGUCUCGGUGUCGCGCGUUGUCACGGAUCGAUGCCAGCAGAGAAAUGUCUGGAUCUUCUGCAGGGCAAGCUGGCAGAAUUUGGCCUUGAACUCAGUAAGCACGUCACCUGCGUCACAACCGACGGAGCUUCGGUGAUGGUGAAAUUCGGGAAGUCACUGCCAUGUGAGCACCAACUCUGCUUCGCACUGUUCACCUCGCCGUUGUCGACGCUCUGUACUCGGGUGACGCCGGGCAGACCUCUGAACAAGCAGAUGACGACCGUGGUGGUGGUGGACCUAACCAGGUGAACUCGUCAGAUGAAUCCGACGGUGAUGACGAGGAUGAGGACGACAACGUGGAAGAAAACACUACUGGUGCUACUGGUCACCACGAACUACAUAGUUCGCUCUCUCCAGUCGUUAAAAGCAUUAGAAACAUUGUCCGCUGGUUUAGAAAAUCGCCCGUACGAAAUGAAGUCCUUCAGAAAUACGUCAGAGAGGAGCGUGGGCAGGAACUGAUGCUAGUGCUAGACUGUAAAACCCGAUGGAAUAGUUUGUAUGACAUGCUAGAACGAUUUGAUAACCUCAAAGCAGCUGUCCACAAAGCACUCAUUGACAUAGGAGACAAACGUAUGAAAAUGAUCGAUGAUUAUGAAUACGCCGCCAUACCUGCGCUCAUUCGCUGCCUGAGAAUCAUGAAACUCGGAGCAGAAGCGCUAUGCAGGAGAGAAAGUGGACUAUUGGAGGCUGAAGCUGCUCUAAAGUUUAUGUUAAGCGCGCUUGACAAGGAGGACUGCGCGAUUGCAUGUAAACUGUCUGAUGCGUUGAAACAGCGCAUCCGACAGAGACGGUCACGUGCGGCUUAAGUCCUACAAUCGCUCCAUAACAAAACGUCGGCAGACAGAGACUGGAAAGAUAUUUUUCCUAGUGCCUCUCGCAAGGAAGCACAGGACUUAGUUGUCCACAUGAUGGAAAGAUUGGGAGAACAGAUGCAUGAUACCGAAGUAGGUGUAGAUACAGAAGUGAUGGACGCUGAUGAUCCUGAAUCAGCGCCGUCUCUUCAGUCGAUGCUUCAACAAGCUCUAGAUGAGGUUAGAGCUCCAGAGCAAGGCACCAGUUCAUGCCCGUCUGGGAUUAACUUUUCGCAAUCUUCUCUGAUGAUGACGAAGGCCAUAAGGAAAGAAUUGGAAAAUUUACCUAUCUCAGGAAGGACAGGCAUGGUAGCGCUGUCCUACAACUGGCUGAAGGGCAUAGUUCCUACGAGCGUUGAAUCGGAACGAGUGUUUUCCACUGUCGGGAAUAUCGUCACAAAAGUGCGGUCGAGUCUCGGCGACGAAGUCGUUGAUGCACUUUGCUUCCUCAAGUGCUACUACCGUAACAAGUGAAUGUGACCAGGACAUGCUGCUGGUCAGACGACCACAAUCCGUAGGCACGUCUACUGUAUCCUGACUCGAAAUAUAAACAAGAAAUACAAUGAUCAAUGUCA
rnacentral:lncRNA from 1 species